GUCGACGAUGAUCCGGUGCUUGCACCGGGGAUUAGUGGCGAACGGGUGAGUAACACGUGAGUAACCUGCCCUUGACUCUGGGAUAAGCCUGGGAAACCGGGUCUAAUACCGGAUACGACCUUUCACCGCAUGGUGGUUGGUGGAAAGAUUUUUUGGUUUUGGAUGGACUCGCGGCCUAUCAGCUUGUUGGUGAGGUAAUGGCUCACCAAGGCGACGACGGGUAGCCGGCCUGAGAGGGUGACCGGCCACACUGGGACUGAGACACGGCCCAGACUCCUACGGGAGGCAGCAGUGGGGAAUAUUGCACAAUGGGCGAAAGCCUGAUGCAGCGACGCCGCGUGAGGGAUGACGGCCUUCGGGUUGUAAACCUCUUUCAGCAGGGAAGAAGCGAAAGUGACGGUACCUGCAGAAGAAGCGCCGGCUAACUACGUGCCAGCAGCCGCGGUAAUACGUAGGGCGCAAGCGUUGUCCGGAAUUAUUGGGCGUAAAGAGCUCGUAGGCGGUUUGUCGCGUCUGCUGUGAAAGCCCGGGGCUCAACCCCGGGUCUGCAGUGGGUACGGGCAGACUAGAGUGCAGUAGGGGAGACUGGAAUUCCUGGUGUAGCGGUGAAAUGCGCAGAUAUC
rnacentral:rRNA from 1 species